CUAUAAAAGCUCAUCCGCUCUUUAUUUUUCUUUACAAAAGAGUGUCAAAUCCAAGGGGGGUAGCAGCAACGGCUGCGAGCCGCCUGACAGGCAGACGGGUGCACAGACAGUCAGUCGAGGCAUAAGCACCAAAAGCAGGGCAGUGCGAGGGUGGGUGCAUGUGCACCGGCGGCGGCUCCAGUCAGCUUCUCUUCGCCUGCUGUUUCGCGGUGUAUGCAACCCACAGAAUAGAUGGCGCAGUCGUGCAGACUUGUGCUGUGGUGUGUGUUGGCGUGCUGCUGCGUUCUUCAUGGGUGCGUUUUUCGGCUCCUCCUUUCGACUCGCACGAUUCUCACGAGAAACAGAGAGGCGUGCAGGAGGAAAGGAAUUUCAUUGUUAUUGUUGCUGCUGUCAACCAAGUUGAUAAUGGAGGAAGCUGAUUUGAUCGCCAAAUUUGAGCCUGGAAUAGAAAACCAAAGCGAAUCCCCACGGCCUUCCACCCCUGUGCGCCCUUCGUCUCCUGCCAACGAGCAACCUUCCGACGAAUCCUCCCGACGUCAUGAUUCUUCUGUCGAAAUUCCGCACAAAAAAGAUGAUGAUGAAGAAGAACAUAAGGACGGAGCGAAAAAAGACUCGAACGAAAAAAGGACCAACACCUACAUUGGAUGGACAUCAUCCCCAAACCGAUCAAGCCCUUUUCCAAUCAGCAAGGACACUAAGGACAGCAAGAAACGUCGUGAUAGCGGCAGCUCUUCGGAUGGUGAAAAAGAUGGUAGAAACAUGAGCAGACCCCAUAGGACAAUUUGUGCUCUCAAAAUCAGCAAUGAAACUAUAGGAAGAAUUUUACUAAUUUUCCUCGUCGUAGUAUUUAUUGUCUUCUGUUAUUCCAUUCUGGCGGAUUGGAGUAGCUACAAAUGUGCAGUCUCAGAAAAAAAGGGAAACACCAAGAAAAGAUAUCCUUUAUAGACAGAUGUCUUAAGUUCGCGAUGUUCUUAAUAACUUCAUUGAACUGUUGGGUUUAUUAUAUUGUGCAGCUUAAGAUCCUUUUUAUGCUCAGAAGUUAGAAAUCUGAAUGCUUUUAAUGCUUACUAAAUUCAAAAAGGCAUUUCUUGUCCAAAGACAACUGAAUGAAAUCAAAGCUAAUUUAAGUAAAAUUCAAGAUAAACCGUCUAAACAUUUGGCUAUCAGGAAAGCGCAAACAUUAUAAAUUUAGUUUGAUAUACUGCCUAUUAUGUCACAAACGUACCUGUCAGUCUUGUGAAUAUUUUUUUCCAUCCACAUUUACCAUUUUUAAUGUGCUGAAAGCUUUAAACUACAUGUUAUGGAUUAGAAGACUGACAUUUUAUCAAUAUGUUACAAUGAUAAAAAUGUCAAUAAUUGUAAUGGUAACUACUUGCUUUAUUACAAUUUUUAAGGUAUAAUAUAAGGCCUCAACCUAUGACUUCUUUGUGAGAUCUUUUUACUGAACAUUUGUAUAGAAAUAUUACUCUAUAAUUUACUCAAAUCAACUUGAUUCUCUUGAUGUGUUGACUACAUCGUGCUUAAAACUUAAACAUUUUUAACUGUGAUUUUUUCACUCCAAGAACUUUUAAGAAAUGUAAGCUUACCAAAGUGUCUUCAUAUUUUCCUUUGAUCUUAAGUAACAUAAUGGUAUUUUCCUAACUAAUAUAACAUUUCAAUGAUAGAAAAUAGUGUGACUAUCGUCUUAAAUUAAAACAUUAUCAAUACUGACGAAUGAAUAAAUAAAUGUAAAACAUGUAUUUCACUAUCGUCAUUGUGCUAAUAAAAUGGUCGGUACUAUAAUUAUUACCUAUAAAAUAUGUUCAAAAAACGGCGAUGUUGUAAUAACCAGUGAAACAGAAAAAUACUCAAGAUACUUUAUUUACAAGAAAAUAUUAACCAAAGGGACAUAAUCUGGACUUCUCAUGAUAUCCUAUGACAAUUUCUUCGAUUUCGCAGUGCUCAGCAUGAAAACAAGGUCAUUUCAUUUUUAGUUUUCACUUGUCAGCUCUUAAUGAUUUUAGCUGAGAAAUGUUUAUAUUUUUAAUUUCUGUAUUAUUUUGAAUUAUAAAAUGAUGAACAAUUAAUAAUUAAAUAUA